rnacentral:rRNA from 1 species
GACGAAGGUGGCGAGCGUUGUUCGGAAUCACUGGGCAUAAAGCGCACGUAGGCGGCGGCGUAAGUUGGAUGUGAAAUCCCCCGGCCCAACCGGGGAACUGCGUCCAGUACUGCGUUGCUUGAGGAUCCAAGGGGUGCAUGGAAUUCCCGGUGGAGCGGUGAAAUGCGUUGAUAUCGGGAGGAACUCCGGCGGCGAAAGCGGUGCACUGGUGGAUUACUGACGCUGAGGUGCGAAAGCCAGGGGAGCAAACGGGG